UCGGACGUGGUGUAUGGUGCAUCGCCCUGGACUUUUGUGGGACUGGAACAAUCCACAGAGGGCAGGAGGGGUUCGACUCCCCGCGUUCGAA